rnacentral:rRNA from 1 species
GAAGUUAGCGGCGGACGGGUGAGUAACACGUGGGUAACCUGCCCAUAAGACCGGGAUAACUCCGGGAAACCGGGGCUAAUACCGGAUAACAUUUUGAACUGCAUGGUUCGAAAUUGAAAGGCGGCUUCGGCUGUCGCUUAUGGAUGGACCCGCGUCGCAUUAGCUAGUUGGUGAGGUAACGGCUCACCAAGGCAACGAUGCGUAGCCGACCUGAGAGGGUGAUCGGCCACACUGGGACUGAGACACGGCCCAGACUCCUACGGGAGGCAGCAGUAGGGAAUCUUCCGCAAUGGACGAAAGUCUGACGGAGCAACGCCGCGUGAGUGAUGAAGGCUUUCGGGUCGUAAAACUCUGUUGUUAGGGAAGAACAAGUGCUAGUUGAAUAAGCUGGCACCUUGACGGUACCUAACCAGAAAGCCACGGCUAACUACGUGCCAGCAGCCGCGGUAAUACGUAGGUGGCAAGCGUUAUCCGGAAUUAUUGGGCGUAAAGCGCGCGCAGGUGGUUUCUUAAGUCUGAUGUGAAAGCCCACGGCUCAACCGUGGAGGGUCAUUGGAAACUGGGAGACUUGAGUGCAGAAGAGGAAAGUGGAAUUCCAUGUGUAGCGGUGAAAUGCGUAGAGAUAUGGAGGAACACCCCAGUGGCGAAGGCGACCUUUCUGGUCUGUAANCUACCACUAGGCCGCNAAGCAG